CUUCUGAUUGGUGCAAGGGACAGCUCUUAAAUAGAGCCAGUACAGCAACCUUAAACAGCAGUUGCCAAGCUAAAUUGGACCCAGCAACUGCAUUACCUGAUGGCUUAUGACUUUUGUAUCAGGGUGCUUGUGCUCUGGUUAACAGCUUUUGAACACCAUGCAGAGGGAAGUGGUUUUAGUCAUUUUCAGUCAGCUGGUAGGUCUCCCAGGAGCCAGGCAACUAACUGGGAUCCAUGGCAAUACAGUCAACUUGAGUCCCUUACGGAUGGAGUUCUCCUGUAUGAGGCUGCUUUAAUGCCAAUACUGUAUGGUGGGAAGUUGUCCCAGGAAGGUGCAGUUUUUGGUCCCAGUGGGCGGUCGUACUCGAAACCUCCACUUAAAACUAUUUGCCCUAUUUGUCCCAAUUGCCCUAAACCCCUCCCUUGCCAACGACCUUGCCCUCGUCCUUGCUGUCCACGUGGCCAUCGCACUUGCCCUUGCCCGCCAUCUUGCUGUAAGCCUACUCACAAAUGUCGCAAAAGAUUUAAUUAGUAGGUAAGAUGAAAUGUAAUGGAAGUGUGUCAACUUCAUGGAUUUUUUCCCCCCUGGCUCAGUUUUUGAGCUGAAUAGACAAUGACUAAUAAAACCGUAAAUUUUGAAUUGGUCUCU